rnacentral:rRNA from 1 species
UACGGGGGGGCAAGCGGUUGUUCGGAAUUACUGGGCGUAAAGGGCUCGUAGGUGGCCAACUAAGUCAGACGUGAAAUCCCUCGGCUUAACCGGGGAACUGCGUCUGAUACUGGAUGGCUUGAGUUUGGGAGAGGGAUGCGGAAUUCCAGGUGUAGCGGUGAAAUGCGUAGAUAUCUGGAGGAACACCGGUGGCGAAGGCGGCAUCCUGGACCAACACUGACGCUGAGUGAGCGAAAGCCAGGGGAGCGAAACGGG